UACUCCCCCAAUUCAAUAAUACAUCAGAUAGGUUCCUGUCGAGGAACAAAUAGGUAUUUUAAAGUAGUAUUUUUACUACGCUGGGAUCGCCCAGGAGCAAUUAGGUUCAUUCCUGGGGAUCGCCCCAGGAAUUAGGUUCAUUCCUGUCGAGGAACAAAUAGGUUCAUUCCUGGGGAUCGCCCCAGGAACUAGGUUCAUUCCUGUCGAGGAACACAUAGGUUCAUUCCUGGGGAUCGCCGCAUGAACAAUUUUUACUAAUCGUUUAAGGAAUUUUUAUUUUUCUCAUAUUUUGAUAAGUUUUAAAUUUAUAUUUCUCAUAUUUUGAUUAGUUUGAAAUAUUUAUUUUCCCCAUAUUUUGAUAAGCUUUAAAAAAUUAAAGCCAAAUUUUUUAAAUGAAUGAGAAGCCCCAAGAAAUCCAAUAAUGUAUUAUAUUGUUUUAUAGUCAUCCAAUGUAGUAAGAUAUGUACUGUUAUGUUACAGUUUAUUUUAAUAUUAUGUGUAGAUUUAGUAUGUUUUGAUAUUUUAAUAAUAAAUAUUAUUCUUUAAAUUGUGUUGUGUAUAAAAGGAAAUUUGAUUUAUUAAAUUAUAGUUUAUACACAAUACAAUGCAUCUGUCAUCAACGAUUUCAACAGGCA
rnacentral:lncRNA from 1 species